rnacentral:lncRNA from 1 species
GUGCCACAUAAGAUUUGCGGACUUGCUUCACGUAGGAAGCACCAAGACACGCAUGAACACCACAUCCACAUCGAUCUUGCCUCUGCAAGACAUCAAUCCUUCAACAUGAGCUUGGGAAGCAGAGUCUAUGAGUUACAACCGUUUCACUAGCAGACACCAUCUCAUUGAGUAGAGAUGACUGAGUAUAAUCGAAUCAAGCUCGAACAAAACAAAACCUCGAGUAACAAAAUAGAUUGGCCGGAAGUGUUUCUCAGCGUCUUAUUCAGAGUACAUGUCAAGCGCACUUCUACAAGAAGGCUGGAAAUUUUUGUGGCGGCCUCGGAUUCUAGUAGUUGCUGGUGUAGAAUUUCUUCAGGAACUCGGAGCUCCCCUGGUCCUUUUCCAGGUCCUGCACCAGCCCCUUGUGGCCAACCACGUAUUGCCCGAUGAUGUGGUGGCGCUGCUUCGCGUGCUCGGUGAUGUUGUUCAGCUCCUCCAUCCCGUUGAAGAGAAGCAUAUCAAUGACCUGUUUGUUCGCACGCAAGUCAGCACAAAUCAGCAGAGAUGUACACUAAGAUUGAGGGAGAUAGAAAUGCUUUUCUGGCAUUG